GAACGCUGGCGGCAGGCCUAACACACGCAAGUCGAACGCCCUAGCAAUAGGGAGUGGCAGACGGGUGAGUAACGCGUGGGAACCCUUCCCUAUAGUACGGAAUAUACCAGGGAAACUUGGAGCAAUACCGUAUACGCCCGAAAGGGGAAAGAUUUAUCGCUAUAGGAUGGGCCCGCGUAGGAUUAGCUAGUUGGUGAGGUAAUGGCUCACCAAGGCGACGA
rnacentral:rRNA from 1 species